AUAUAUAUUUGUUUUUAUCUAUUAUUACUUUUUAUUUAUUUAUGUUUUUGUUAAGAGAUAAGAAGGGAUUUGGUGGGGUUUGUUUGAUGGGGUGGUGGAUGGGGUUUCUGGAGAAAGGAAGAGAGGAGGAGACGGGAAGGAAAGAGAAGAAGAAAAGGAAAGAUGAAAAAAAAGAAAAAGAAAGAAGAAAACAGGAGGAGAAGACAACGUAUAGAGGAGAAGCAGAAAGAAAAAGGUCGCGAGAGGAAAGGAGAUAGAGGGAAGAAAGAGAGUGAAGGGGGGAAGGAAGAACAAGUCCAGAGGAAGAAAAAAAAAAGAGAGAGAGAAAGAAGAACCAGAGCAAGAGCGAGAGAGAGAGAGAGUUGGAGAGUCUGGGCUUUUACCAAAGGCUGCGAAUUGGGUAUUUCUGGAUUUGAAGGGAGAAGCUUGAGGGUUUAGAUUGAUUUUCAGUAGCAAAGGUGAAGAUUUGAGAGUUUGGUUUCUACUUGUGAUCAAAUUUGUAGAAAGGCAAAAGGGGGGAAAUUUUCUGAAGUGGAGGAUUUUGCUUUGGGUUGUUUACUGUCUUUGUUUACCUUGCCUUACUGUGAGUGACUUCUCUACUUUGCUAGCUGUUUUAUUUUCAUUAUGUCCACUGCCUUGCUGCUGUUAACAUGGAAUGUGAGAGUUUGGUUUUGAUAAACAGUUAUGUUGGGUGUUUGAUGUUAUGUGAACUUACCGAGGUUAUAUUGUAUUGGUACUUGUUGUUUGUGCCCUAUAUCAAUUGAACGGUUUGGUUUUGGUUUCGGUAUAAUGAUUGUUCUCUUGGGUUUAUUACUAGCUUUUGAAACCAGUCUCGAACUUCUAUUGAAAACCAAAUUUUGUAACUAUCUUUUAAGUUUAUGUUAACAAUUUUCUUUCGGGUGGGUUAAUUGUUCAAUUUAUAUGGGCACUACCAGCAUCAACAUGGUAUAAAUAUAUGGGAGGAUCAUACCAAGUUAAUUGUAGAAUUAAGAAACUGAUUAUUUCAUAUGAAUUCUUGGGUAUCUUGCAAAAAUUUCAGUGGUAGAUUUAGAGUUUUGUUUGGGGAUUAUAUAUGUUGAGUUAAAAAUCAUCUGUCUUCUUCCUCUGCCCCUUGCUAGUGAAACUACUCAUUCUAGAUAACAUCUUAUGAUAUAGUAUGGAUUAAAGUAUCUAUAUGGUGGUUAAACAAAAUGGAGCCUCGAGUAAAGAGCAGAGAGCCAUGAGGUUGCUUCUUCUCAUAGUGCUCCAUGCAUUGACUGCCUUGGCAUUUCAGAGAGAGAGUUUGGUUCCAUUUUUUCCUAAAUAUUGUAUUGGCAUACAAGCACAAAUGUCCUGCCUGUUACAAGCAAUAUAAGAAGAAAGAACAUCUCAUUGAGCACAAGAAGGUUGCUUUCCACUCAGCUCAUGAUCCUAUUUGUGGAGUGUGCAGAAAGCCCUGCAAAUCUUUUGAGUCAUUGAGGGGUCAUCUUACUGGUGUGCUCCCAAGGUAUUUCAACUCAGAAUGGUCAGUGGCCAAAUUUCACUUGCAGGAAGGUCUGCAGCAUAUUGUUGCCUUCGGCAAGCGGAAGAAUACCAUCAUGAUCAUUGGCAUGGAUGGAAGCAGAAAAUGAUGCAAAAAAUGAAGAGGCUGAUAUUGAGGAGCUCAUCAAAGCAGUUGCAGAUCAGGUGGCAAAGUAAUUGUCAAUGGAACAGCAGUUGGAAUGAUAUCUAGGAAUAUGGUUUUAUAUCAGCUUUUGAUUCAAGUGUAGCUAGCUAGGAAUGAUUUCUUGUUUGGUACAUUAUCUAGUUACUUGAAUGUAUGGAUGUUUGAAAAGUGGUAAUUGAAUGAUAUGGAUUAGAGUAUUGUUUUCGUGGUAA